rnacentral:rRNA from 1 species
GCAGCCGCGGUAAUACGUAGGUGGCAAGCGUUGUCCGGAAUUAUUGGGCGUAAAGCGCGCGCAGGCGGUCCUUUAAGUCUGAUGUGAAAGCCCACGGCUCAACCGUGGAGGGUCAUUGGAAACUGGAGGACUUGAGUGCAGAAGAGAAGAGUGGAAUUCCACGUGUAGCGGUGAAAUGCGUAGAGAUGUGGAGGAACACCAGUGGCGAAGGCGACUCUUUGGUCUGUAACUGACGCUGAGGCGCGAAAGCGUGGGGAGCAAACAGGAUUAGAUACCCC